GAUGAACGCUGGCGGCGUGCCUAAUACAUGCAAGUAGAACGCUGAAGGAGGAGCUUGCUCUUCUGGAUGAGUUGCGAACGGGUGAGUAACGCGUAGGUAACCUGCCUGGUAGCGGGGGAUAACUAUUGGAAACGAUAGCUAAUACCGCAUGACAACAGUUAUUGCAUGAUAACUGUUUAAAAGGGGCAACUGCUCCACUACCAGAUGGACCUGCGUUGUAUUAGCUAGUUGGUGAGGUAACGGCUCACCAAGGCGACGAUACAUAGCCGACCUGAGAGGGUGAUCGGCCACACUGGGACUGAGACACGGCCCAGACGCCUACGGGUGGCAGCAGUAGGGAAUCGUCGGCAAUGGACGGAAGUCUGACCGAGCAACGCCGCGUGAGGGAAGAAGGUUUUCGGAUCGUAAAGCUCGGUUGUAAGAGAAGAACGAGUGUGAGAGUGGAAAGUUCACACUGUGACGGUAUCUUACCAGAAAGGGACGGCUAACUACGUG
rnacentral:rRNA from 1 species